GUGGUUCCAACAUGCCGGAGCUGAUGGUGGAGGUUCGCAGCUCCAACGGGGCUUUCUACAAGGGAUUUACCAAAAAUGUUCAUGAAGACUCCCUUACAGUUGCUUUUGAAAAUAAUUGGCAACCAGAAUGCCAGUUUCCAUUUAAUGAGGUUAGAUUACCUCCACCACCUGAUAUAAAAAAAUAAAUUAGUGAAGGAGAUGAAGUAGAGGUAUAUUCAAGAGCAAAUGACCAAGAGCCAUGUGGAUGGUGGGUGGCUAAAGUUUGGAUGAUGAAAGGAGAAUUUUAUGUCAUUGAAUAUACUGCUUGUGACGCUACUUACAAUGAAAUAGUCACAUUUGAACAACUUUGGCCUGUCAAUAAAAAUAAAACCGUCAAAAAAAAUACCUUCUUUAAAUGCACAGUGGAUUUUCCUGAGGAUCUGAGAGAGGCGUGUGCUAAUGAAAAUGCACAUAAAGAUUUUAAGAAAGCAGUAGGAGCAUGCAGAAUUUUUUACCAUCCAGAAUCAACACAGCUAAUGAUACUGUCUGCCAGUGAAGCAACUGUGAAGAAAGUAAACAUCUUAAGUGACAUGCAUUUGUGAAGUAUUUGUAUGAAGCUGAUGCUUAUGACCAGAAAUGAAGAGAUCACUAAGCAUUCAGAAUGCACAAAACAACUUGCAGCGGCUUUUCAGGAGGAAUUUGUUGUGAGAGAAAAUUUAAUGGGUGUGGCAAUAGGAACACAUGGUAGUAACAUUCAGCAAGCUAGGAAGGUUCCUGGAGUCACCGCAUUGAGCUAGAUGAAGACACUGGAACAUUUAGAAUCUACAGAGAGAGUGUUGAUGCUGUAAAAAAGGCUAGAGGUUUCUUGGAAUUUGUGGAGGAUUUUAUUCAGGUUUCUAAGAAUCUCACGGGAAAAGUAAUUGGAAAAAAUGGCAAAGUUAUCCAAGAAACAGUGGACAAAUCUGAUAUGGUUCGGGUGAUAAUUGAAGGUGACAGUGAAAAUAAACUACCCAGAGAAGAUGGUAUGAUUCCAUUUGUGUUUGUUGGCACUAAAGAAACCACUGGAAAUGUGCAAGUUCUUUUAGAGUACCAUAUUGCUUAUCUAAAGGAAGUAGAACAGCUAAGAAUAGAAUGCCUACAGAUUGAUGAGCAGCCAUAACAGAUUGGUUCUAGGUCUUAUAGUGGAAGAGGCAGAGGUUGUCAGGGCCCUAAUUACACCUCCGGUUAUGGUACAAAUUCUGAGCUGUCUAACCCCUCUGAAAUAGAAUCUGAGGAUAAAGACAAGCUGAGUGAUUGGUCAUUGAAGAAGAUGAUCAAUGCAGACAUCAGCAUGACAGCAGGAGAUGCCCAGGAGGAAGAUGCAGAAGUGUUUCAGGGGGUCGAGGUCGUGGUGGACCACGUGGUGGCAAAUCCUCCAUCAGUUCUGUGCCCAAAGAUCCUGAGAGCAAUCCAUACACCUUACUUGAUAAUACAGAAUCAGAUCAGACUGCAGACACUGAUGCCAGCAAAUCUCAUCACAGUACUAAUCGUCAUACGUGGUCUCGUAGACGAAGGACUGAUGAAGAUGCUGUUCUGAUGGAUGGAAUGACUGAUACAGCUUCAGUUACUGAAAAUGGGCUAGGCAAAACAUGGAAGGCAAUAAAUAGCCCGACUAGUGCUUCUGGCAAUGACAUUUCUAAGUUACAGCAUACUCCAGGAGAAGAAAAGAUUAAUACCUUAAAAGAAGAAAACAGUCAAGAAACAGCAGUCCUGAAUGGUGUUUCAUAAACUGAAGAAGUUCCUAGUUUACAGUUCUUUUACAUUACAUUUACAACAGUGCUUGUACAAGCUUGCCAAAGAUAGAAUAUGGAUCGCCAGUCUUUACAUCGCACUUUCAGUUCUACCAUUUGGAAUUCAAAAAGGGGAGGGAUCCUGAAUAAAUCACGUGUUAAACAUACUUUGACACCUACUGCGUCAUAAAUCAUCAGAUGUUCCUUGAGAAUAGUAUAUGUAACAUUAAAAAAAAGUUGCUGGCUAUAAGAAAUAUUAUUUUCUUUUCAAAAUAUGGCAGAUGGGGGGUGGUGGGUGAGGUGGGAUCCCUAACAUAAUAUUCUUUAUGAAAGUAUUGGCUGCUUUUGUUACAUUUUUAAUAUGCAACCACUUCUUCAUCUGAGGAAAACUAGAAUAAAAUGCAGUCUAAAAUAUUUUGCACUGAACUGUAAUUUCUCCAUUGGUUUAGUUUGGAAACUGGUCUGUUUUAAUGUGUUUUUUAAAUGCUGUAUAUAGAGAAAAAUCUGCAGACCACUGGAAUACAUUUGUUAAACUCUCAUCUGCAGGGACACUGGGUGAUAUUUGGCAGUGACUGUUCCACAUUGAGGCUUUGGUUUAUUUAUUAAAGUGUACAGUAUUUAAAAAUCAAACAUAGCUUUAGUUAAAACACUAAGCUGAAUUAGUCAUGUCCAUUCAGACAUAACCGGAACUACUGAAAAUAUUAAUUUCCAGAAGGUUUAUUCUAUAUAAACUACAUGUUUCAGUAGAGUAUCUUUUUUUCUUUUUUUUUUUAAUUUCGGUUGUUUGAUGUGCAAUAUGUUUUUGUAUGCAAAUAGUAAAUAAACAUUGAUCUCCCAAAAAAAAAGUGAUAACACAGUGUAUUGGCCAGGCACAGUG